GACGAACGCUGGCGGCGUGCUUAACACAUGCAAGUCGAACGGAAAGGCCCUGCUUUUGUGGGGUGCUCGAGUGGCGAACGGGUGAGUAACACGUGAGUAACCUGCCCUUGACUUUGGGAUAACUUCAGGAAACUGGGGCUAAUACCGGAUAGGAGCUCCUGCUGCAUGGUGGGGGUUGGAAAGUUUCGGCGGUUGGGGAUGGACUCGCGGCUUAUCAGCUUGUUGGUGGGGUAGUGGCUUACCAAGGCUUUGACGGGUAGCCGGCCUGGGAGGGUGACCGGCCACAUUGGGACUGAGAGACGGCCCAGACUCCUACGGGAGGCAGCAGUGGGGAAUAUUGCACAAUGGGCGGACGCCUGAUGCAGCAACGCCGCGUGCGGGAUGACGGCCUUCGGGUUGUAAACCGCUUUCGCCUGUGACGAAGCGUGAGUGACGGUAAUGGGUAAAGAAGCACCGGCUAACUACGUG
rnacentral:rRNA from 1 species